AUUGAACGCUGGCGGCAUGCCUUACACAUGCAAGUCGAACGGUAACAGGUCUUCGGAUGCUGACGAGUGGCGAACGGGUGAGUAAUACAUCGGAACGUGCCCAGACGUGGGGGAUAACGAGGCGAAAGCUUUGCUAAUACCGCAUACGAUCUAAGGAUGAAAGCAGGGGACCGCAAGGCCUUGCGCGUUUGGAGCGGCCGAUGGCAGAUUAGGUAGGUGGUGGGAUAAAAGCUUACCAAGCCGACGAUCUGUAGCUGGUCUGAGAGGACGACCAGCCACACUGGGACUGAGACACGGCCCAGACUCCUACGGGAGGCAGCAGUGGGGAAUUUUGGACAAUGGGCGAAAGCCUGAUCCAGCAAUGCCGCGUGCAGGAUGAAGGCCUUCGGGUUGUAAAAUGCUUUUGUACGGAACGAAAAGGCUCUGGAUAAUACCUGGGGCACAUGACGGUACCGGAAGAAUAAGCACCGGCUAACUACGUG
rnacentral:rRNA from 1 species